rnacentral:snRNA from 1 species
AUACUUACCUGCGCCGAACUCUAUCUGAUCAUGAAGGGGUAGAGUUGCGCGAAUCCGUGGCGCCUUGCACUUCGCGCACACGUAUUCGCGUCGUUCGUCGCCUAACGGGGCGAACGGGGCGACAAUUUAUUCCAGGGUGAGACCGGCGUUCGCGCUACUCGCC